CCUACGGGCGGCAGCAGUGGGGAAUAUUGCACAAUGGGGGAAACCCUGAUGCAGCGACGCCGCGUGAGUGAAGAAGUAAUUCGUUAUGUAAAGCUCUAUCAGCAGGGAAGAAAAUGACGGUACCUGAGUAAGAAGCCCCGGCUAACUACGUGCCAGCAGCCGCGGUAAUACGUAGGGGGCAAGCGUUAUCCGGAUUUACUGGGUGGAAAGGGAGCGUAGACGGCAGUGCAAGUCUGGAGUGAAAGGCGGGGGCUCAACCCCCGGACUGCUCUGGAAACUGUACGGCUGGAGUGCAGGAGAGGUAAGUGGAAUUCCUAGGGUAGCGGUGAAAUGCGUAGAUAUUAGGAGGAACACCAGUGGCGAAGGCGGCUUACUGGACUGUAACGGACGUUGAGGCUCGAAAGCGUGGGGAGCAAACAGGAUUAGAUACCCCUGUAGUC
rnacentral:rRNA from 1 species